UGAGACUUUACGCAUGCGCACUGCAGAAAUCAUCUUCGGCGACGCCAUCGUCUACGUGGAUCAUUAAUGUCCUCAUGAGCAACUACAUGGGCAUUUUCCCCCUUUGGAGUGGCAUAUUGCUUGGGGACCUGAGCAGAUUCUGACCUGAGCAAUGGGCCAAGAGAUCCCUAUCUCAAAGACCAGCAAAGCAUCAUUCAAAGUAUUUUGAUCCACCAGAAGCAGUGCCCCAACCAAAAAGACACAAGAAAAAGCAAACAUCUGAGGAUCAUUCAGAGGACACAUCCAGAUCCAUGCUCUGUGGUCUAAGAAAGCAUGUGAGAUAGUCAUUGCCGUCACACAGUCAAAGGAAAAAAAAGGUCUUAUAUCCUGCAUCAUUCAGAGCUGAAAACACUCCAGCCACAUAAAUGGCUGGUGGGGGAGACAAUCCAAUGCUAUUUUGAAGUGGUGGUGAAUAACAGAGACCAGGGACACAGGAUUUUUAUACUAGAUCACUUUGAUGACUACGAAGGAAUGAUAAGUUUCCUGAAUGUCAACGGGAAUCAUUGGAUAUUUUUGUAUCUCCAUGCAGCAUCCAGCCAGGUGUUUGUUGUAGACCCAGCAGUACAUAAUGAAGACGCAAAAUCCAUGCAUGCAGCCACUAGAUUUCAGUAAUAUUUUUUGCUUGUUAUAUACUGUGCUUACAAAGAUGGGUUACAAAUUUAAAAAAAGCAUGAAUGCUUAGCCCCUAGUGUGAAGAGGCCCACUUCUUUUUGGUGUGUUUUCUUGUCACGGGGUAUUGAAUGGUGAAUGAUAUGCUGUGUUCUUUUCUAUCACCAGAUCUUUAGUAAAAUUAAACAAAAAUUAGAUUUUGGACCAAACUGUUUGUCAGUGCUCUCCAGUAUCAUCUUGAAAAUGUAAACAUUUUGAAAUAUAUUUUGAAAAAUGUAUGUUCUAUCCCUCCUGUUGGUGUUCCAGAGACUUGGCAUAGAUCUUGCAGAUCUCUGGAUCCUUAACGAUUAUUUUCGUAAGAAUAAAAUGACAGUCUUCGAGUCUUUUACAUUGUGUAAGUAUACUAGUCUUCUCAUAAGGUUUUUUUUUUAAUGCUGUCAAAUCCUUACAAUAAUUUUACUUAUUAACUUUUACUGUAAGUAGCAAGCAAUUCACAAUAAUUGUUAAGUGUAAAGUGAGUGAGAUAUGUAAAGACAAUAAUUAUACUACAUAUAAAAAUAUA